rnacentral:rRNA from 1 species
UACGUAGGGUGCAAGCGUUAUCCGGAAUUAUUGGGCGUAAAGAGCUCGUAGGCGGUUUGUCGCGUCUGCUGUGAAAACUGGAGGCUCAACCUCCAGCCUGCAGUGGGUACGGGCAAACUAGAGUGCGGUAGGGGAGACUGGAAUUCCUGGUGUAGCGGUGAAAUGCGCAGAUAUCAGGAGGAACACCGAUGGCGAAGGCAGGUCUCUGGGUAGUAACUGACGCUGAGGAACGAAAGCGUGGGUAGCGAACAGG